rnacentral:rRNA from 1 species
GACGAACGCUGGCGGCGUGCUUAACACAUGCAAGUCGAACGGAAAGGCCCUGCUUUUGUGGGGUGCUCGAGUGGCGAACGGGUGAGUAACACGUGAGUAACCUGCCCUUGACUUUGGGAUAACUUCAGGAAACUGGGGCUAAUACCGGAUAGGAGCUCCUGCUGCAUGGUAGGGGUUGGAAAGUUUCGGCGGGUGGGGAUGGAUGGGCGGCUUAUGGGCUUGUUGGUGGGGGAGUGGCUUACCAAGGCUUUGACGGGUAGCCGGCCGGAGAGGGUGGACGGCCACCAUGGGCCUGAGGUACGGCCCAGACGCCUAUGUGAGGCAGCAGUGGGAAACAUUGCACAAUGAGCGGAAGCCUGAUGCAGCGACGCCGCGUGCGGGAUGACGGCCUGCGGGUUGUAAACCGCUUCCGCCUGUUACGAAGCGGUAGUGACGGUAAUGGGUAAAUAAGCACCGGCUAACUACGUG